AUUGAACGCUGGCGGAAGGCUUAACACAUGCAAGUCGAACGAGUGGCGGACGGGUGAGUACUGCUUUGGCAUCUAGCUUAUGGAGGGGGAUAACUACGGGAAACUGUAGCUCAUACCGCUUACCAUAGGAUGAGCCCAAGUGGGAUUAGGUAGUUGGUGCGGUAAAGGCUCACCUAGGCGACGAUCCCUAUCUGGUCUGAGAGGAUGAUCAGCCACACUGGGACUGAGACACGGCCCAGACCCCUAGGGGAGGCAGCAGUGGGGAAUAUUGCACAAUGGGCGCAAGCCUGAUGCAGCCAUGCCGCGUGUAUGAAGAAGGCCUUCGGGUUGUAAAGUACUUUAAGUAGGGAGGCGUUACCGACAGAAGAAGCAGCGUCUAACGCAGUGACAGCAGCCGCGGUAAUAC
rnacentral:rRNA from 1 species